UACGGGAGGCAGCAGUGGGGAAUAUUGGGCAAUGGGCGCAACCCUGACCCAGCAACGCCGCGUGAGGGAAGAAGGUUUUCGGAUCGUAAACCUCUGUCCUUGGUGAAGAGGAAGAGACGGUAGCCAAGGAGGAAGCCCCGGCUAACUACGUGCCAGCAGCCGCGGUAAU
rnacentral:rRNA from 1 species